CAGGUGCUAAUACCGUAUAACAAUCAAAACCGCAUGGUUUUGAUUUGAAAGGCGCUUUCGGGUGUCGCUGAUGGAUGGACCCGCGGUGCAUUAGCUAGUUGGUGAGGUAACGGCUCACCAAGGCCACGAUGCAUAGCCGACCUGAGAGGGUGAUCGGCCACAUUGGGACUGAGACACGGCCCAAACUCCUACGGGAGGCAGCAGUAGGGAAUCUUCGGCAAUGGACGAAAGUCUGACCGAGCAACGCCGCGUGAGUGAAGAAGGUUUUCGGAUCGUAAAACUCUGUUGUUAGAGAAGAACAAGGAUGAGAGUAACUGUUCAUCCCUUGACGGUAUCUAACCAGAAAGCCACGGCUAACUACGUGCCAGCAGCCGCGGUAAUACGUAGGUGGCAAGCGUUGUCCGGAUUUAUUGGGCGUAAAGCGAGCGCAGGCGGUUUCUUAAGUCUGAUGUGAAAGCCCCCGGCUCAACCGGGGAGGGUCAUUGGAAACUGGGAGACUUGAGUGCAGAAGAGGAGAGUGGAAUUCCAUGUGUAGCGGUGAAAUGCGUAGAUAUAUGGAGGAACACCAGUGGCGAAGGCGGCUCUCUGGUCUGUAACUGACGCUGAGGCUCGAAAGCGUGGGGAGCAAACAGGAUUAGAUACCCUGGUAGUCCACGCCGUAAACGAUGAGUGCUAAGUGUUGGAGGGUUUCCGCCCUUCAGUGCUGCAGCUAACGCAUUAAGCACUCCGCCUGGGGAGUACGACCGCAAGGUUGAAACUCAAAGGAAUUGACGGGGGCCCGCACAAGCGGUGGAGCAUGUGGUUUAAUUCGAAGCAACGCGAAGAACCUUACCAGGUCUUGACAUCCUUUGACCACUCUAGAGAUAGAGCUUCCCCUUCGGGGGCAAAGUGACAGGUGGUGCAUGGUUGUCGUCAGCUCGUGUCGUGAGAUGUUGGGUUAAGUCCCGCAACGAGCGCAACCCUUAUUGUUAGUUGCCAUCAUUCAGUUGGGCACUCUAGCAAGACUGCCGGUGACAAACCGGAGGAAGGUGGGGAUGACGUCAAAUCAUCAUGCCCCUUAUGACCUGGGCUACACACGUGCU
rnacentral:rRNA from 1 species